rnacentral:lncRNA from 1 species
UUAGACCACCACCCUUGGCUUGGAUUUGCUUUGCUUUCUCCCCUCGCACCGGGGAACGCGGCCGCCGAUCCGCUCCCGAUCCCCUCCCCCUUCCCGCCGCCCGAUCCCACCAAAUCCGCUCCCGCGCUGCCCCCCGAUUCGAUUACCUAGCUCGAUUGGCCCCUCCCGAUCAGCCGCGGCACAGGCUGUUUCUUGUUUGAUUAGAUCCCCGUGCGGAGCUGUGGAUCCCCAAUUGAGCAGCCGCGUGCGGGCGGGAGGAUUGCGCUAGGGUUUCGGCGGGCGCGGGCGCGGUCUCCGUGUGGGCGGGCGGGCGGGUAGGGUUUUGCCAUGGCGGAGAAGGGCUGCCUCAAGCGGCUCCAGAAGGAGUACCACGCGCUCUGCAAGGUGAGCUCCGGUUGGAUUGGGGGUCGAUUGGCUGGGAUGGGUCCGAUUGGGCUGUGCCGUGGCUCGAUUUCUGACGGGUUUUGGUUUCGCUGGGUUGCAGGAGCCGCCGCCGCAGAUCGUGGCUCGCCCGCUUCCCAACGACAUAUUGGAGUGGCGUAAGUAGCCUCCCCUGACCCUACCAGUAGAUUUGGGGCCUUUUUCGGUCGUUAAUGUUCGGAGUGAACUGGCUGUUAUUACACUUUAUGUUGUCGGAAGCGGUGGUGUAUGUGAAACGCAUAUCACUUACGGUUCAUGUUGUGGUAGCAAGCACUUUUUGAGCUUGGUUUUGUCGGAAGCGAUGGUGUAGUCGGAAAGCAUGUCGCAUACGGGUUCAUGUUGUGGUAGCAAUCAGUUUUUGGAUGUUUCUGUAUACAUGGGAUUGCUCUGCGCAUUGCAUGACAUACUCGUAGCAAUUUAUGGUUAAAAGUUUGAAUCAUGGGAUGUGAGCCUUAGUUCUGCGUAGUGUGUUGAACAGAGUAUGAGCAUAUGAUAAGCGGUAGUUCCUGUCAGGAUUGAUUUGUUUUGCUGAUUCCCUGAAAAUCAGUUGAUACGCUCAACCUUCUUUAAGCUCGUAGUAGGAGAGGCAGGCUAAGGUCUUUGCCCAUAGGGUGCUAGCCUACUGCUUGGCAUCUAGUUAAGCUCUAGAAUUUAGAACAUUGCUUUACCGCUUACUGUUAACUUAUAUGGACUAGCUCUUGACAUUACUGCACAUUAGCAAGAUUCAAAUGUUCCUACUGGUUGUAAGGGUUGGUCAUUUUGCGUGUGACUUAAAUGCUCUGCAAAUAGGGAACAGUUAUGUGAUUGAUCUUUGCUUUGUUUUGCCCAAGGGCAUGCGCAUAGAGUUUGUCACCUGGCAUGCUGGAUGUCCAAUACAUAUUUUUGAUGCAUUUGCUAGAUAUUUGUUUAACAAUCAUUGGAAUAUCUGAUUUAGCUGCGCCAUUGUCUCGUCUCUUCAUGGAAAUAUUGCUUGUUCUGCUUAUGGUACAUGGCUCUGGACCCCCAUAUGUUUGUUUAUAUUUAUAUAUUGGUCAGCGUCAGGAUUUGCAUUGACAUAACUGCAAUUAUCUAGUGAAAUAGUAAUGGCCAGCGCUAUACAUGCUGAAAAAGGUUCCUGCUAAUUAUGUGCACCAACCUGUCAAAUAGUAAUAGAUGAGAUAUGUUCUUGGUUAAAUUUACUAAUGACUAGUUGAGCACCAUUGACAACUCAUAGAUUACAACUGCUGAUGCUUAUGUGCAGUUUUUAGUAUAGUCCAAAUCCAUAUGGUGCCUCAGAUUGUAUUUAUCAUGCUUGUUCCUAAUGCAACGCCAAUCUUUUUGCUUACUUUCAAGGCUGUAUAUUGGUACCAACUUAUGUGCUUUCUUUACUUUGUAUGCCAGACUACGUUCUUGAAGGAAGUAAAGGCACACCCUUUGAAGGUAGAGAUCAUGCAAUACUGUACAGCAUUUUCUUUAUAUUAUCUACUUUAUCCGAUAUUUGUUUCAUUACUUAAUCUCUAACGAUGUUUUCAUGUUCCAAUUUUUCCCUUGCAGGUGGAUAUUACUAUGGGAAACUUAAAUUUCCACCAGAUUAUCCUUUUAAACCUCCAAGUAUCAGGUGCAGAAACAUUUAAUGAAUUGUGUUUUAAUGACAUGGUGCUUCUUAUUAGGGUGUGAGGGAAAACUGUAGCUAGAAACUUUUAUAGAUAUAUAAUUAAUGCAAAUGUUAAUUAUUCUGUUUUUGUUUCUAACUCAUUUCAUUGUGCAGCAUGACAACCCCUAGCGGUAGGUUUGCGCCACACAAAAGAAUAUGCCUGUCAAUGAGUGACUGUAAGUUCUGAACUGUUUCUGGAUUACAGUUGCUUUUGCAUCACAUUAGGUAUGAAAUAAUGCUCAUUAUUACUAUGCUUUGCAGUUCAUCCUGAGUCUUGGAAUCCAAUGUGGUCUGUAGCAAGGUACGCACAUACUGAUAACUAGCUUUUUAGCUUUUUACACGUGUGAUGCGUUUUUGGAACCCAGAGCAUGCUUUUCAUGUUUCAGCUACUGUACAGUGUACAAACUCUUUAAUAACUGCUAUUCAAAUGUGCUCUGUGGUAGUCUGUAAUUAUUUCAACUUCUUUUUGCCAUGAGAUGGGGGAACUUGAAAUGGUAAAUCGAGGUUUAGUUCUGCUGUCCCAGAUCACUUUUCACUAUGAGUCAUCUAUGUUUUCAGUUCAAACUGUUUGCAUUUUCUUUCCUUUGUUGAUCUGACAUGUAAAACUUUGUGCUGCAGCAUUCUUACUGGGCUCCUGUCAUUCAUGGUAAGUUGUUCCUUGCACGCCAUUAUGGGUUAGCCUUACCAAAAAAGAAUAUCUAAUUUCAAUCAGAAUUUCUAGCGCACAUAGAGAUCUUGCCAUGUUAUAAGGUUACUUGUUGAUCAGGGCUAGCAAUUUAAUGGUAACUGCCCAACAUUAUUGCAAAUGAUGCUUGGCAUUUCUCUUGCAAGAACUCCCUUGGUUUAAGGUUUUAUUUCUCAAUAUCGAUAAUUCUUGUAAUUUCAGAUGGAUGAUGCUCUGACAACUGGAAGCAUCAAGACUUCAGAUGCAGAAAAGAGGCGCUUAGCAAAAGCUUCCCUUGCAUACAAUUGCGAGAGGUAGAUUAAUUUAUUUAAAUGCUAAUUCAUUCUGAUCGUGCUCUUUUUGUAGAACUGAAAGUAUUUUUUACAAACUACCCCUUUAGAAACAGGGCUGAACAGAUCCUGUAGGAAAUUUACUUUUACAUGAAAGUAACGACUUAAUUUGGUCAGGAUGCUGUGUUUUCCAAGUGCAAGGAACUCACAUUGACUGUUAGGUUCCUUAUUAAAUUGUUAAACUAUCACGCCACUUGUAUAUCUAACUUUUAGAUACUGGCAUUCAUUUGCUCAUAAGUACUAUUUGUCCUAUUCAUAUAAGUGCUUCUCUUUGCAGCAAAAACUGCCCACACUUCAGGAAGCUGUUCCCAGAGUACGUUGAGAAGUACAACCAACAGCAACAAUUGGAGAAUACAGCUGCAGAAUCGGAGCCCCGGGAGAAUCCUGCUGCACCUGCUCCAUCUCCUGCAGUCCAGCAAGCUCCAGUUGUUGCCAAUAGAGCACAGCCAGUGGCAGAGGCGCACCGCGAGAAGAACCAGAAGAAGGCAGUGCCCUUCUGGAUGGUGCUGGUCAUGUUUUCAGUUUUUGGUGCCGUGAUGGCCUUGCCCCUAAUGCAACUUUGACAAUAAUAAAGGACUAUGAGAAAAGUGUGAUACCGGGGCAUAAUUUUGUAUAGUUUUCCAUUGGUUUGUGUGACUCAAUUGUCCUCUUGGAGUCAUGUUGGUGAACAUGUGAUGGUAAAUCUGUAGAACCGUAUUCUCACUCUUGACAAGCAGCAUCAGAAGGUCGCUCAUUUUCAUUCUUCUGUUUAUUUUCUUCCUUUUCUUGCGUCCUCACUAGCUGGUCGUGCUAACUUAAAAUAAGUCAUUGUCUCGUCCUAAAUUUGCAUUAUUUGCUCUGGAUCUGCAAUUUUGUAUUUGUUCCAAGCCAAACUUUCUUACUUUUUGAGUUUACAAGAGACACCAACAUUUACAACAUAAAAUUAGCUUCAUUUGUUUUAUUAUUAAAUCCACCAUAAAACGUGUGUUGAUACUGUAUUUAUUUGGCACUGAAUUAUAAUUUGAAAUGAAUGAAGUAAUUUGUAUGCGCCACCGCGGGUUGUUGUGGCGUCGCACGACCUUUUUCGGUGAGCGAUUCCUGUCCUAGAUUAUUUCACUAAUGCAUUCACCAUGUGGUCUAAUUUGAAGCUAGAUAGCUUCUCACUAACACCAUGACAAAUUUCAACAAACAUCAUUAAUGGGACCAGCACAGCAAAGCGACCUAAAGCUAUGUUUCCAACCACAACCCAGAGUCAGGUUGGACGCCACAAUUGAAGUAACGUUUCAUCAAGGUUAUAAAAGAACGUUUCAUCAUUCAACAUAAAGGAAUGAGACUUCAUCGACAUUGCACCUACUACCUUCAAUGCAUUCAAUCUAGACAGCAUGGGGAUGGUUCAUUAUUAGCAUCUCAAUUCAUCUUAGCCAUAUGGCAAUGUCAAUAUAUACAUUCUACACCCAGCUUAGGGCAAAAGGAUGGAAGAACCCGAUCUUUGCCAACAGAAGCGUCUAUGCUUUGCUUGACCCAGGGCAAUGCUAAACUGGUUUGCCUCAACCAGCAUGUGGCGAUGAAACAAUGUUCACUCGCCAGUCCCUUACUAAAGAUAAGAAAUGUCCUAGUUUGCGCUGACAUCUUUGAGUAUCGGAAAUAAAGUUGUAUUCACCCCUAACAUGUUUCUUCAUAAAUCAAGCAAUAGGAAGCACUUGUUGAUCUCAAACAGUGCUUCUCACACCAGAAAAGAAUGUCAGCUCUCAGUUACUACCCAAGAAAGAAGUUUCUCCUCCACUUCUUCCCAGUUGUGGACCUUGGUCACCAGCGGAUGCGACUCGUCAACUCCAGUUUUGCACCAAGGGUAUGAGUUAUCAUAAUCGAAGAGCAGCACCCUCAUGCCAUCAUUAGCACACUCCAUAGCAUAUCUUGGGUUGUCAUCUAUUAAAACCUGAGCGCCAAAAGAUCUGCAAGGAGGAAUUGCCAUAGCAAACAAGUUAAGUCUUAUGAGCAGAAACAACUAAAUGGUUUAACAGUUCUGAUCAGACAAGAUAUGCAAAAUACUGUUGAGGCAUGCUGCCUCAAAAAUAAUCUAAACAGAAAUGCAAAAAGGGGCAAGCCUGCCACAGUUCUAAUCAUUGCUGUUCUUUUAGUGUAUGUGGAGCCGGAUUACAAUGCUACUACAGUCUCUAACAUGAUUGAGAAAACUAUCCUCCCUCAGUGAGCCAGUGUUUUACCUGCAAAUCUCUGAUUUUGGUCUUGACUGACCCUCCAAAGCGAAAUGAUUACCGAAAUGUAUCUGCUCAAAUAAGCCUGGAUAAUACCUCUCGAUCCAAUCUAACGUGUGACUCUUAAUUGCAUCCUGCCGAGAUCUUUUCAGAGAAGGACACCAUUAGGUAAACUCAUAUAAGGCAAGGCAAAUUGAACGUAUCUCUCAAAUCUUAUGAAGGACUUACGUUACUACUGACAAGCUACAGAAAGAAGAAAGGUUUUGGAGAGCAUCUCGAGCCCCAGGGAUGGGUUGUAUACCAUCUUGGAAGUAAUGAGUUGUGAAGAACUCAUGGACAAGAAAAUUAGCUGCAGUGUUCAGAGCAGUGCUUGAUUUCAUAUGGUGAAUUGUAUAGUUAAAACGACAAUAGAUGUAAUUCAAAAUGAAAUAAAGGUAAAUAGCAUCAGGAUAUACCUCUUUCUCGAGAACAGUUCCAUAUCUGGAUAGAUUGAAAAAAAAUAUAUUAGAACUCCCUGGUGGAGAAAACUGAAAUGGAAAUACGACUAACUAAUGGAUUUGAAUAUCUUUUACGGAAGGUCGGAGUGCAUACUAUUACUCACCCUAAAGAACUCGUACACAUGGUAUUCAGAUACUGUGUGAUUCCAAGAAUAACGAUCAGCGAUAAAUUUGUUCAGUGCUGCAAGAAAGCUUCCAAGAACUGCAACAAGAUACAGCAAACAAAGUGGUAAGGAAGGAUCAAUUAUAAGAAAAACACAAGUGACGUUACUCCCUUGACCUGUACAAGACAAGGCAUGAGGGGACAAUAUUGUGAUAUUAUAAGUUGUGGUCAUGACUACAUGUAUGUUUUGGGCAAGAUUGUUCAGUUCAUUAUUUGGUUCUAGACUAACCACCACAUUGGCAACAACUCAAACAGGAACCAGUAAUGCAACCAGCAGGGAUAAUCAGCUACCCAAAAGUGAGGUUUCAGAGAUGAGCAGACUUGCACUUGAGAUAGAUUUCACAGUACCUUCAUCCACAUCAACAGCAACCACCAUCUUAGCCGCCACAGCCUGCUCCGGGAACCCCAGCGGCUUCCCUCGCCGGCACGCGCCGUUCCCGCUCAGGGUCUUCGCGCUGGCGGCCGCCUCCUCCAGCGGCAGGACCUCCGGAUCGCGCAUCAGCUGCCGCUGCCUGGUGAGCACCUGCGCCUUGAACCCCGCCGCCUCCCCGUCGACCCUCCUCUUGAACCCGCCGCCGCCGCUGCCGCCGUCCUGCCACCCCAGGCACCCCUUCAAGCUGAGCGCGCCGCUCGGCGCAAACCUCCGCCCGCCCGCUAGAUUAAGGAACCCCAUCUUCCCCAGCGGCGUCGCGCGACCCUCGUUGUGCGCAACGGAAUGGCUGCACCUGCAGAGGCAGGCGCGGUUGACGGCGGCCGGCGGCAUGGCGGGGCUAGGGUUCUGCUUCCACCCCCGAGGUGGUGGCCGGAGACGAUCCAACAGCGACCGCACGGCUCCGCGGCUUAGCAUGUCGCCACCAGCAUUCCUUCCCCCGGCCAGCCCAAGAAACCUGCACGCCUCGCAUUCGGCAAAUCAGAUUCCGUCACAGCCCAACCGAGAAAAAGGAGGAGAAAAGAAACAAAGCCAGAUGCAAUCGCCGGCGGAAUCGCUUGCCUGAACACGCGAGAUCAGGAUUCAGGGAUGAGGACGAAUCGAAACCCCCGGCGCGAGGUCGGCGCCUCGGUCCCUCCCUCUCCUCAGUCCUCACACCGUUCCUGUGAUCUGGGGCAUCUCUUUCAAGCGAGAUCGCGGCGAGGGAAAAGCCUGGGGAAAUUUCGUGUGGAAAAUCUCGGGGUAUAUGCGGAAAGGAGAUGGCAAAGCGGAUUUCUUGGUUGCCUCUAGUAUUUUUGUCCCUUUUUCUCGUUCUUCGCUUUUAGUAUUUCUCUAGGGUUUGGGAAUUGGUGUGCGAUUUUUUGUGUACGUGGAGUGACGGUGGUGGUGGGCCGCCUCUUUUUCGGGAAAGGGAGCGGCGCUCAUCAUAGGGGUUGUGGCUUUUUCGAAGAAGUCCACACCGUUGCAAGUAUUUAGAGUCUAAGGCCCUGUUUGGCAUGGCUCCAACUUCGGGUGGAGCUGCUCCACUCCAGAACUCCAAGUGGAGCCAGCUCCACUCUAGAACUCCAUAAAUAAAAUGGGGUGUUUGCCUAGAUGGGUGCUCUCAGCUCCAAAAAAGACCGAUUUCAGUGUGAAUUGCCAUUGUUACCCUCCAAUUCAGGCCCCACUUGUCAUCCUUGCUAUCCCAUCUCUUCUUCUUCCCCUAGAUAGUUUUCGCACCGGAUAGUUUUCGCACUACGCGUAUCUGGGAAGAUACCGGAGCAUACUGGAGCUUCCCGAUGGGGAAGAUGCUGCGGAUGUCGGCGGGCGCGGACCGCACGCCGAGGAACGCGUCGUUAGUGAGGCCGCCCCCGGCCGGCGGCGUGACGAGCACCUGCUGCAGGAUCUUGGCCCCCAGAGCCACCAGGCUCCCGUCCUGGACCGCGAUCCCGGCUAACACGGGCUGGAGAGCAGCAUGCCUUCGCGGGAGGUGGUGACGGCGUCGCCGGGCCUCGCGAUGGAGAUGGGUGGCGUGGGCGCCACGGCGUCGACCCCAGUGACACCGCUGGGGAGGACCACGCGUCCGCCGACGAGGACAACCGAUUCCUCCGGGCCGCAGAACUCCUCCGCGACGUCGACCCAAUCGUCGUCCGGUGGACCUCUCCGAUGCGCCCGACGACCGGUGGGUGCCGACGCCGCCCUAAGCUCGCGACGCUCUCCUGGGCACCCACCCGCUGCGGCCGUCGGCGGGGCGCCGCGGCCGGCGCAGGGGGCUGGUGGUGGGGCGCGGCGGCCACCGGCGGGCGUCAGCGGUGGGGCAAGACGGCCGGCCUCGGGCUUCGGCGGCAGGGUGAGACGGCCGGGCGAGACGGCCGGCGACGGGCUUCGGCGGCGGGGCUUCGACGGCGGGGAACUCCUGCGGCGGCGGGCUUCGGGGGCGGGACGCUGCAGCCGGCGGCGCCCUUCGGCGACCGGCGCGACGACCAGCGACGGGGCGCGUCCAUAUGCGGCAGGAGGCGGAGGUAAGGCGACCGGGCGGGGCUAAAGUGGCUGGCGGCGGGGCUCGGCUGGCCUGCGGCGGGGCCGGACGGCGGGUCUCCGGCCGCCAGCAGGGCCUACGGCGGCGGCGCAGGGGCGGUCGGCGCAACCUAGGCGCGGCCGGGCGUGAGUACUCGAGAAUGAAGAAGGAACAGAGGCGCGAGGCAAGAAAGAAUGAAACGUUAUCUUGUGUAAUCAGUGGCAGUGGUGGGUAAUUACCCACCAACUCCACGAGGAGGUUCAAAAGAGGACGUUUUGGAGCAGCAAAGGGGGUGCUCCAAAACUCCAGCCCCAAUUGCACUACAGCUCCAUGGAGUUGGCAGCUCCAUGGAGUUUUGGAGUUGACGUGUUUGGCUAGAUUUUUUGCUGGAGUCGCUGGAGUUACGGAGUGGAGCCGUGCCAAACACCCCCUAAGUAUUUAGGUCUGUUUGGUUUUUUUUUACGAAGUGGUUGGGUUGCGACCCACUUAUAUGGGCUGAAGUAAACCCAUCUCAUGUUUGGAUGAGUGGGUUGGAGCCGAUCCAGUCUUUUGUAUGGUUGAGAAGAUUGAGAGGGUUGGGAUGGAUGUCCUUUUAACAUCGUUAAUUGUGGACCCCACCUAUCAUCUGCGGGGCCACAUGUCAUCCUCUUCUAUUUUUUUUUCCUCCGUUGCAUCUUCUUCCUCCCGACUUCUUCCAGCAAGACCCUCCUCCUCCCGGCUCCUCCCUGCCAGUGCACCGGGCCCUGCCGGCGGAUCCUCCCCGGCCGCUGCUGCGCCGGCCCCUUGUGGCGGAUCCACCUCGGAUUAGCUUGAUUAAACAUGGUUAAGUCGCCUAACAUGUGACACCCAUGCCUUAGCCAAGUUAACACGAAGUGCCGUCGGAUUUCAUCCGAUUUAACCACUUAAACAGGACCGAGUUAGCAAACUCACACGAAGGUGAGUGGUUCCAGAGAAUACAACAAGUCCACUGAGUUAAACAACUUAGCCAUUUAGUUCGGCCAUAAAACCAACAUCAGAGUUUUACAAGGUUCAAAAGAAAACAACCGAAGGUAAAACAGCAAGCGAAAGCUACUUCAUCGGGGUCGGACAUCUCUGGUGAGGCCAGCCAGGACGUCAGUGAUCCCUCUCCUCGCCGUCCGAGGAGGGAUCCCACUCAACCGUCCAACCCGGAGGGAGUUGGGGCGGCCAAGUGCCAACAGAAGAAGACUCGGGAGCAGCAACUUCACCUGAAAAGAAAAAAGCCACAACAAGGCUGAGCUACUAAGCUCAACAAGACUCACCCGACAGGAGUAAAGCUACUCCACCUUUCUAGACAUGCAAGGCUCUUGGGCUGAGGGGGUUUGUUUGCCAAAAGCAUUAUGUAGAUUCCUAUUUUGAAGUUUUAGCUCAGGUUCUAAGUUCAUUAUCCGGUCUAGGUUAGCAACUUACUCUAAGCAAACAUAGAACCAAACAGAGGGUAUAUAACAUCAUCAAGACCAAGUUAUCAUCAGAUUUCAUCAUUACUCAGGGUAGCAUAGCGAUCAAGCAGUCUCAAACUGUGAGAGGCAGACGAAUCGAUUCGAGUUCUUUAACCAUGCAUGAUGAACCUAACCUCACGACAUCCGCGCACCAUCGAGGGUCGCUUCCUGUGUCGGCCUUCCCCAUCAAUUCCCUAACCCGUGUCGGGCCCAUUUCCUUUGGUGCAAGGUUCCACAGACCCGGCCUCUGCCGUUCUGUGACCACACUUGCCACCACGUGCGACAGCUAGCAGGGGAAACUCCGUUCCAAGGACAAUGGGGCGACCGCUCACGUCUAGGUUCAAUCCGGUACUCGGCUUCCUCAUCCCAUAAUAAGUAUGAGGUUAGUACUUUCAAACACUUGAUCACGAACACCACCACUGUCGGGCCUUAGCAAGUUUUAUAGACAGACGGGGCGAUCAACCGUCCACCAAAAAGUUAACCAAAACCCUGCCCCGUCCAUCGUUCUUAUAGUUGUGACAGGAGGAAGACAACCAAAUCCUACAACUCGCGAGUGACAGGAAAUCACUCGACUUUUACCGCUUCCUAUUUACGCAAAGCAGCUACUCGGUCCAACAGCUAGUGUUCAGAUCAUGGGAUCUAGUUAUAUAUCUAGGGUUGCAAACAACUCCUAUACGUAAAUGCACGAACAAGAUGCAGAAGGCAUGCGCAAGUUUUGGGAACAUAGGGGUUUCAUGCAUCCGGGGCUUGCCUUCGAGCAAAGAGGAAGGGAACUGCUCGACUUCUGGGGCAGCUUCGGCUUCUGGGGGCAGGAGCUCAGCUACACUGUCGUCUUCUGGCGCCGGGUGCAGCUCGUAGUAGCCGUCGGCGAGACGCAGCUCUACACGAAUGCAAUGCAUUAGUUAGCGUAGACGGUUAUUUCAACAGCAAUACUUGCAAGUCUGAGCCCAGAAACUUGCGACAAGUUAUAGGAGGGUGGGGAGGUUCAAUGGAGUUGAGGGAGGUCAAGAGGUAAGGGUCGGAGGAAAGGAACUUAUGAUCUGACCCUUAAUCUAGAGGAUUUGGUAUGCUAGGGGUCCUCAGACUCAACGCUGACAGGUCUCCAAGUUUUACACAUACACCCUCGGUUCAAAGAAAAAGAUACAGCCGAGCCCUCGGGCGAGGCGGAAAAGGGUCGGCGGAACAGAUAGGGUCGGGCGAGACGGAACCGGGGUUGGGCGGAUAAGAGGGGUCGGGCGAAGCGAACAAGGGUUGGUAGCCUACCUUCGUCUUACAGAGAAGGCUUGGGCGAAAGGACUAAGGGGCUUGGGACAGCGGCGAGGAUGUCCGGCGGUGCUUCUUGUGGAUCACAAGCAAACUCUUGGGCAGCACUGAAAGCAGGGGCUGGUGGAUUGGGGAAAGGUGGUGUUUGAGCGGAGAGGAGAGUUCCUCAGAUUUUGGUGGUGGCGCUGUGAGCACAAACAGGGAGCAAGAAAGAGGGCAGUGAUGGCCAAGGGGACUCUGGCGGAGCUCUGGCAUUCCCUUUUUAUAGCUGCGCGGAAGAGAGAGGGUUGGAGCGGCACGAAGACUGGAAAGAAGCGAUGGAGUGCGCUGCCACGGCGGUGAUUGAGCGGCCAGGGCGGUGGAGCAGGACUUCGGGGAUGAUGCCUUCAGCUAUUGGGCACUGGAGACAGGGCAGUGCAGGCGUGGACUUGCCAGUGGUUGAGUUUUGGCGGAGGCGGGCGUCGUCGUUCGGCGGAUCUGAUGGAAGUGACCGGGGGAACGGCGCUAGAAGCUAGGUUGCUCAGGUGAGAAGACAGGUGGGUUGCGGCUGCGCGGGCGAGCGCGAAGCAACAGACCGUCGGAGCGCAGCUUUGACAAGGCGGGAAAGGAGCUGUCGCGGCCAGGGUCGGGGUUGGCGGAGGAGGAAUCGUCGCGUAGCGCGGACCUGGGCGGCGCGACUGUGAAGGGGCGACGGAAAAAUCGGGAGACCUUGGGCCUUGCAGCCGGGGGGGGGGGGUCCGGCGAGGUGAUGAUGGGCGCGAGCGGCGAGGCACUGCAGAAAAAGUUGCAGAGGGCUUCCGCUGCGAUUGGGGAAAGGGGCGCGGGAAUCCAUCUGGUCGCGGCCGGCGACGGGGCGGAGCGGCGGGUGUCGGAGGAGUUGAGCCACGCGGCGGAAAAGCACUGAAGCGAGCAUGCCACUCGAGUGCGUCUGCACCAGGAGAUCUGGGAAAGAUGUUGUGGGCCCACCGGUCAGAUUGAAGGAAGGUGUUGGGGGAAGACUUAGAAGGAUCCGGCGGCGAGUUGGGGUCGGCGGGGUCGGAACUGGAGGCCAGCGGAAAGGGGUCGGGUCACAGGGGUCAGGACCGGACUGGAGGUUGAGUACUUAAACUCGGUAAAGCUGAGACGGGAUUUGGGACUUAGUUUAAGAUUAACUCGAGAGAUUCGGGGUCGGUCGUCACACCCCUGCCGGCGGCUCCUCCCCGACCGACCUCGCCCCCGGUUUCUUCCCUAGCCACCCCCGGCUUCUCCCCGACCACCGGCGAGCCCCACGCGCCACCUGAUCCUCCACAGCGCCGCCGGCAGCCAUCCUGCGUCGCUGGCCGCCACCUCCCUCCGCGCGCCGCCAUCCCACCCUCCUCUCUCCGCGCGCCGCCCCUGCCGGCCUCCACUCCCCCGCCAACGGCUCCUCCCUGCUUGACGACGCCGACACCUCCUUGCGCACCGGCGGCAAUCGAGGGAGGCGCGCUCGGCGAUCGAGGAAGGCGUGUGGGCAAGCGCAGACGGAGCUGAGGGAGGCGCGUGGGCGAGUGCCAAAUGGAGCGCACGGUAGCCGUCUGGGUCCGCGCGGUCCCUUCUUUUUGGAGGGAUCGCUCCGACCCAGAUCAAGGGAGAAUAUUCCCAUCUGGGUUGGACCCAACCCAGAUGGGAAUCCAACCAAACAGGGGUCGAAGUGGGUCGGUUCCAAACCGACCCACUUCGACCCCAGAACCAAACACUACCUUCGAGUUUGAUUGGUUCUCUGCCAAAAUUUAGAUUAGGUUCCAAUAUUUGCCCAACCAAAUUAUAGUCAUGCCUAGAAAGUUUGGUUAUCACUUAGUUCCUUACCAAGAAUUUGGUAUGCCAAUGUUUUUAACAAAAUCCAUGGCAAGUUACUAUAAACUUCUUAAAGGAAAAGGUAUAGGUUGCCAAAUUUUAUCACUAAACCAAGUGAUACCCAAAUUUCUUACUCUAUCUUUGGCAUGCCUCAAUUUUGGCAAGCCCUGAUUUUAGCAUGCCCUCAUUUUGGCUAGGCAAAAAUCGGAAGCAAACCAAGCAGGCUCUUAGGCACGCCAAAAAUUUUGGCAAGCUAAAAUUUGGGCAAAAAAUUUGCCAAUAUUUUGGUAAGAUACAUGUGAGAGGUUGCCAAAUUUUGAUAACAAACCAAGCAGUGGCCAAAAAUUUGGCUUGCCAAAACCCCGGCAUGCCAGAAUUUUGGCAGCCAACCAAUCAGGCCCUUAAUGACAUGAUAAUCACUGAAUUUUCAUCAAUUGUACCGCAUGGUGGAACAUCGCUUUCGCCUUUCAUGGUACUCCAAAUAUAAUGCCACGAAAGUCAGCAAAUAUGACACUACUGAUGCAGAGUGGAGCCUAAAAAUCUUUAAAUCCAUGGUCCCGGAUGAAAGCAGACAAAAUGAAUGUCUCAAUAGUCCUUCGCUAGAGUUUGCUAAGUCUAAAGAAAAGUUAAAGUGCCACUUUUUGCAAUUGGAAGUAAAGAAAGAUAGUAUUAUCAAUGAUGGUCAUUUGCACCGCUAACUACAAGAACUUACUACUAGAUUUACUAUCAGAAUCACAUGUGUAUAUUAUUACUUUAACUUGAAUAUUAGUAGUAAAAUGUGGGGAUGGAAUAUCACAUUCACAUAGAAAAAACAUGAAGGUAAAUAUGAUUAUCAAACACUGUAUUGAAUUCACAUACUAUCUAACUCAUAAUUUGCUACAUCGGUGUUCAAGAAUCAAGAUAUCUGCUACAACUUUGUAUGCCUUGUUCUUUUUUUAUGUUUUCAAAGAUAAACAUAUCUCUUGUUUAUCCUCUUAUUUUAAGGUAUACUAUUUUCACAUCUAUAGCUCUAGCAUAAGGUAUACUGUUUGUCUUGUUUUGUUUUUUUGUGAUUUGGGGAAUUUGGAGAUGCAAGUCAGUAAACAUGCCUAUUGUGUCCUUUUAAAGGAGAAAACCUCAGGUUGAUAUAUAUGAAACUGGUGCACUAGUCAGCAAACAAGCAUGUUGUGUCUUUUAAUAAUUAUAUUUAACAAGCCUUUCAACAUUCCAGACAACAUGUUGAUCUAUAAAACUGUUGAAGUAGUAUAUUUAAAAUGUUGGAGUUAUAUAUUCGACAUUUCUUGAAAACUACUUUAACAUUUUGUACAGAUAAGCUCUCAUUUGUAUAUAUAAUUGAAUCAAACAUGAUCUAGGGAUUAUCUUCGUGCUCAAGUGGUACAUCUUUAAACAUGAUACAACCUUGCAUAGUCUAAAAGUUUGAGAUGACGAAUAUAUGUUAUAUGUUACAACAGCAAAGAAUAUGGUAAUUGAUGUGCAUUACAAAGUGGUGCAGUCUAAAAGGUUACUGAUCACAUUUUCCUAUGUCCACCAAUCAACACCAGCACUAACACAUCCAGUUGUAGGAUCCCUGCCGAAAAAUUCAGAGUCUUCCACUGUAUUGUGUAUACACCCUCUUCAAUAUAUCCCAUAUAUUCUUCAUUUGCAUCUGUGCAUAGUGUCUCAGUCUUUGGUGCUUUCAUGAAACUUCAUAAUUAGAUUUGCAUAUCCUAAAGUGUCCGCACAAUGUUGCAGCCUAUUUUUGGUAUUCACAUGUUCCACUUAUUCUGGUUGAAAACAGAAAAAAGACUUGGAAUAUGUUGAAAAAAGGAAAGGGAAACAAAGUAAUGCAAUCAACAUUUGAGCCUUUAGGCUGAUCUUCUUCACUGUUUUUAUUUAGGCCUCUGCUGCUGUCAUUUGCUUCUCGGGUCGCACUGGGUCUGCAAUUCCCACCAUUCCCAUCGCACGGAAGAUAUAUAUAGAGAGAUAGGGACGCUCCUUCUCCCACUUUCUUCUCCGCUUUCUUCGGCUUCUUUUCCUAUAAAAGUCAAGCCUUCUUUUCCUAUAAAAGUUAAAAUGAAUAAUAAUUUGAUUUGGGAGGAGCCCGCAGGAAAAAAACAAACGGGAGACCUACGCAUAGACCGCGUGCACCUAGCGUCCGCUCCGUCAGCGUGCUGACAGCUGCAGCCGGCCAGACCAGCUACGCCGCACCGCACGAAUCUCCAAGCAGAUCACGCGCCGUUAAGAAUCCGCUGGACGAAUAAAAAAUUCCCUACCCCAUUAGACCACCACCCUUGGCUUGGAUUUGCUUUGCUUUCUCCCCUCGCACCGGGGAACGCGGCCGCCGAUCCGCUCCCGAUCCCCUCCCCCUUCCCGCCGCCCGAUCCCACCAAAUCCGCUCCCGCGCUGUCCCCGAUUCGAUUACCUAGCUCGAUUGGCCCCUCCCGAUCAGCCGCGGCACAGGCUGUUUCUGGUUUGAUUGGAUCCCCGUGCGGAGCUGUGGAUCCCCAACUGAGCUGCCGCGUGCGGGCGGGAGGAUUGCGCUAGGGUUUCGGCGGGCGCGGGCGCGGGCGCG